rnacentral:rRNA from 1 species
UACGGGGGGGGCAAGCGUUGUUCGGAAUUACUGGGCGUAAAGGGCUCGUAGGUGGCCAACUAAGUCAGACGUGAAAUCCCUCGGCUUAACCGGGGAACUGCGUCUGAUACUGGAUGGCUUGAGUUCGGGAGAGGGAUGCGGAAUUCCAGGUGUAGCGGUGAAAUGCGUAGAUAUCGGGAGGAACACCGGUGGCGAAGGCGGCCUUCUGGACGGCAACUGACGCUGAGGCACGAAAGCGUGGGGAGCAAACAGG